CGGGCAGACUAGAGUGCAGUAGGGGAGACUGGAAUUCCUGGUGUAGCGGUGAAAUGCGCAGAUAUCAGGAGGAACACCGAUGGCGAAGGCAGGUCUCUGGGCUGUAACUGACGCUGAGGAGCGAAAGCAUGGGGAGCGAACAGGAUUAGAUACCCUGGUAGUCCAUGCCGUAAACGUUGGGCACUAGGUGUGGGGGACAUUCCACGUUUUCCGCGCCGUAGCUAACGCAUUAAGUGCCCCGCCUGGGGAGUACGGCCGCAAGGCUAAAACUCAAAGGAAUUGACGGGGGCCCGCACAAGCGGCGGAGCAUGCGGAUUAAUUCGAUGCAACGCGAAGAACCUUACCAAGGCUUGACAUGAAUCGGAAAGGCCUGGAAACAGGUCCCCCGCUUGCGGUCGGUUUACAGGUGGUGCAUGGUUGUCGUCAGCUCGUGUCGUGAGAUGUUGGGUUAAGUCCCGCAACGAGCGCAACCCUCGUUCUAUGUUGCCAGCGGGUUAUGCCGGGGACUCAUAGGAGACUGCCGGGGUCAACUCGGAGGAAGGUGGGGACGACGUCAAAUCAUCAUGCCCCUUAUGUCUUGGGCUUCACGCAUGCUACAAUGGCCGGUACAAAGGGUUGCGAUACUGUGAGGUGGAGCUAAUCCCAAAAAG
rnacentral:rRNA from 1 species